rnacentral:rRNA from 1 species
GAUGAACGCUGGCGGCGUGCCUAAUACAUGCGAGUCGAGCGAACGGACGAGAAGCUUGCUUCUCUGAUGUCAGCGGCGGACGGGUGAGUAACACGUGGAUAACCUACCUAUAAGACUGGGAUAACUUCGGGAAACCGGAGCUAAUACCGGAUGAUAUUUUGAACCGCAUGGUUCAAAAGUGAAAGACGGUCUUGCUGUCACUUAUAGAUGGAUCCGCGCUGCAUUAGCUAGUUGGUAAGGUAACGGCUUACCAAGGCAACGAUGCAUAGCCGACCUGAGAGGGUGAACGGCCACACUGGAACUGAGACACGGUCCAGACUCCUACGGGAGGCAGCAGUAGGGAAUCUUCCGCAAUGGGCGAAAGCCUGACGGAGCAACGCCGCGUGAGUGAUGAAGGUCUUCGGAUCGUAAAACUCUGUUAUUAGGGAAGAACAUAUGUGUAAGUAACUGUGCACAUCUUGACGGUACCUAAUCAGAAAGCCACGGCUAACUACGUG